rnacentral:rRNA from 1 species
CCUACGGGUGGCAGCAGUAGGGAAUGUUGGGCAAUGGGGGGAAGCCUGACCGAGCAACGCCGCGUGAAGGAAGAAGUUAUUCGGAAUGUAAAGUUCUUUUAACAGGGAAGAAAGAGAAAUUUGACGGUACCUGAAGAAUAAGCUCCGGCUAACAAAGUGCCAGCAGCCGCGGUAAUACGGGGGGAGCGAGCGGUAUCGGGAUUUAUUGGGCGAAAGGGGUGUGUUGAUGGCAGAGUAAGUGUUUUGUAAAACUGAUGGGCUCAACCCAGUAGGGCAAAAGAUACUGGAAAGCUAGAGUAUGACAGAGGCAAGUGGAACGACAGGUGUAGCGGUGAAAUGCGUAGAUAUCUGGAAGAACACCAGUGGCGAAGGCGGCUUGCUGGAUCACUACUGACGUUGAGGCACGAAAGCGUGGGGAGCAAACAGGAUUAGAUACCCCAGUAGUC